rnacentral:rRNA from 1 species
AUACGGAGGAUCCGAGCGUUAUCCGGAUUUAUUGGGUUUAAAGGGAGCGUAGGCGGGAGAUCAAGUCAGCUGUGAAAUGUAGAUGCUCAACAUCUGCACUGCAGUUGAAACUGGUUUUCUUGAGUGCGUAAGGGGCAGGCGGAAUUCGUCGUGUAGCGGUGAAAUGCUUAGAUAUGUCGAAGAACUCCGAUCGCGAAGGCCGCCUGCCGGGCCGCGACUGACGCUGAAGCUCGAAGGUGCGGGUAUCGAACAGGAUUAGAUACCCUGGUAGUCCGCACAGUAAACGAUGGAUACUCGCUGUCGGCGAUAUACGGUCGGUGGCCAAGCGAAAGCGUUAAGUAUCCCACCUGGGGAGUACGCCGGCAACGGUGAAACUCAAAUGAAUUGGCGGGG